rnacentral:rRNA from 1 species
GACGAACGCUGGCGGCGUGCUUAACACAUGCAAGUCGAACGGAAAGGCCCUGCUUGCAGGGUACUCGAGUGGCGAACGGGUGAGUAACACGUGGGUGAUCUGCCCUGCACUUCGGGAUAAGCCUGGGAAACUGGGUCUAAUACCGGAUAGGAGCCAUUUUUAGUGUGAUGGUUGGGAAGUUUUUUCGGUGUAGGAUGAGCUCGCGGCCUAUCAGCUUGUUGGUGGGGUAAUGGCCUACCAAGGCGGCGACGGGUAGCCGGCCUGAGAGGGUGGACGGCCAAAUUGGGACUGGGGUACGGCCCGGCCCCCCUCGGGGGGAGGCAGGGGGGAAAUUUGACAAAUGGGCGAAACCCUGAUGCAGGCCCGCCGCGUGGGGGGGGACGGCCUUCGGGUUGUAAACUCCUUUCGCUAGGGACGAAGCUUUUUGGGACGGGACCAAGAAAAGAAGCCCCGGCAAACUACGG